UACGAAGGGGGCUAGCGUUGUCCGGAUUUAUUGGGUUUAAAGGGUGCGUAGGCGGUCUAUUAAGUCAGUGGUGAAAUAUGGCAGCUUAACUGUCAGGGUGCCAUUGAUACUGAUGGACUUGAGUGAAGUCGAAGUAGGCGGAAUUGACGGUGUAGCGGUGAAAUGCUUAGAUAUCGUCAAGAACACCGAUAGUGAAGACAGCUUACUAGGCUUAUACUGACGCUGAGGCACGAAAGUGUGGGGAGCAAAUGGG
rnacentral:rRNA from 1 species